AGAAAGGGAAGAUUGUCAGCCUGAACAGGAUACAAGUUGUGAAACACCCAUGUCAAUUCCCCUUGAAGGAUCAUCAGAAAAAGGAAAUACUWAUCAGCCUGAACUUGAAACAUGUAUCUCAUCAAACAGGUUACCAACAAACCCAUGUCAAGGAUGUGAACGGUUAAGAAAAGAAAAA